AAUGGGCGCAAGCCUGAUCCAGCCAUGCCGCGUGAGUGAAGAAGGCCUUCGGGUUGUAAAGCUCUUUCAGACGGAAAGAAAUCGGUGCGUUUAAUACAUGCACUGGAUGACGGUACCGUAAGAAGAAGCACCGGCUAACUACGUGCCAGCAGCCGCGGUAAUACGUAGGGUGCGAGCGUUAAUCGGAAUUACUGGGCGUAAAGCGUGCGCAGGCGGUUAUGUAAGACAGAUGUGAAAUCCCCGGGCUCAACCUGGGAACUGCGUUUGUGACUGCAUAACUAGAGUACGGCAGAGGGAGGUGGAAUUCCACGUGUAGCAGUGAAAUGCGUAGAGAUGUGGAGGAACACCGAUGGCGAAGGCAGCCUCCUGGGCCAGUACUGACGCUCAUGCACGAAAGCGUGGGGAGCAAA
rnacentral:rRNA from 1 species